ACAAGCGGAGGAACAUGUGGUUUAAUUCGAUGAUACGCGAGGAACCUUACCUGGGCUAGAACGCAUUCGGAAUCAGGCCGAAAGGCCUGCGCCAGCGAUGGCCGCUUGCGAGGUGCUGCAUGGUUGUCGUCAGCUCGUGCCGUGAGGUGUCGGGGUUAAGUCCCAUAACGAGCGCAACCCCUACUGCUAGUUGCCAGCGGGUCAUGCCGGGGACUCUAGCGGAACUGCCAGCGUAAGCUGCGAGGAAGGUGGGGAUGACGUCAAAUCAGCACGGCCCUUACGUCCAGGGCGACACACGUGCUACAAUGGCCGGCACAGCGGGAAGCGGAGGGGCGACCCUGAGCGGAUCCCUUGAAAGCCGGUCCCAGUUCGGAUUGCAGUCUGCAACUCGACUGCAUGAAGUUGGAAUCGCUAGUAAUCGCGGAUCGGCCAAGCCGCGGUGAAUACGUUCCCGGGCCUU
rnacentral:rRNA from 1 species